UACGGAGGGUGCGAGCGUUGUCCGGAAUGAUUGGGCGUAAAGCGUCCGCAGGUGGCAGUUCAAGUCUGCUGUCAAAGACCGGGGCUUAACUUCGGAAAGGCAGUGGAAACUGAACAGCUAGAGUAUGGUAGGGGCAGAGGGAAUUCCUGGUGUAGCGGUGAAAUGCGUAGAGAUCAGGAAGAACAUCGGUGGCGAAGGCGCUCUGCUGGACCAUAACUGACACUCGGGGACGAAAGCUAGGGGAGCGAAUGGG
rnacentral:rRNA from 1 species